AGUGAACGCUGGCGGUAGGCCUAACACAUGCAAGUCGAACGGCAGCACAGUAAGAGCUUGCUCUUACGGGUGGCGAGUGGCGGACGGGUGAGGAAUACAUCGGAAUCUACUUUUUCGUGGGGGAUAACGUAGGGAAACUUACGCUAAUACCGCAUACGACCUACGGGUGAAAGCAGGGGAUCUUCGGACCUUGCGCGAUUGAAUGAGCCGAUGUCGGAUUAGCUAGUUGGCGGGGUAAAGGCCCACCAAGGCGACGAUCCGUAGCUGGUCUGAGAGGAUGAUCAGCCACACUGGAACUGAGACACGGUCCGGACUCCUACGGGAGGCAGCAGUGGGGAAUAUUGGACAAUGGGCGCAAGCCUGAUCCAGCCAUACCGCGUGGGUGAAGAAGGCCUUCGGGUUGUAAAGCCCUUUUGUUGGGAAAGAAAAGCAGCGGGUUAAUACCCCGCUGUUCUGACGGUACCCAAAGAAUAAGCACCGGCUAACUUCGUG
rnacentral:rRNA from 1 species